GCCAGUCGAUCGGACGUGCCAGCCGAUCGGCUGGGCCGCCCGAUCGAACGGGCCAGCCGAUCGGCUGGCCGGCCGAUCGGACAGA
rnacentral:pre_miRNA from 1 species